rnacentral:rRNA from 1 species
AGAGUUUGAUCCUGGCUCAGGAUGAACGCUGGCGGCGUGCCUAAUACAUGCAAGUCGAACGCUGGAAAUCUAGCUUGCUAGAUUGAAGGAGUGGCGAACGGGUGAGUAAUACAUAAGCAACCUACCCACGAAGACUGGGAUAAUCUCUGGAAACGGGGACUAAUACCGGAUAGGUAAUCGGAAGGCAUCUUCUGAUUAUUAAAGGUUAAAAACACUGGUGGAUGGGCUUAUGGCGCAUUAGUUAGUUGGUGAGGUAACGGCCCACCAAGACGAUGAUGCGUAGCCGGCCUGAGAGGGUGAACGGCCACAUUGGGACUGAGACACGGCCCAGACUCCUACGGGAGGCAGCAGUGGGGAAUCUUCCGCAAUGGACGAAAGUCUGACGGAGCAACGCCGCGUGAGUGAUGACGGCCUUCGGGUUGUAAAGCUCUGUUAAUCGGGACGAAAGGUCUUCUUGCGAAUAGUUAGAAGAAUUGACGGUACCGGAAUAGAAAGCCACGGCUAACUACGUGCCAGCAGCCGCGGUAAUACGUAGGUGGCAAGCGUUGUCCGGAUUUAUUGGGCGUAAAGCGAGCGCAGGCGGUUCCUUAAGUCUGAUGUGAAAGCCCCCGGCUCAACCGGGGAGGGUCAUUGGAAACUGGGGAACUUGAGUGCAGAAGAGGAGAGUGGAAUUCCAUGUGUAGCGGUGAAAUGCGUAGAUAUAUGGAGGAACACCGGUGGCGAAAGCGGCUCUCUGGCUUGUAACUGACGCUGAGGCUCGAAAGCGUGGGGAGCAAACAGGAUUAGAUACCCUGGUAGUCCACGCCGUAAACGAUGAGUGCUAGGUGUUAGACCCUUUCCGGGGUUUAGUGCCGCAGCUAACGCAUUAAGCACUCCGCCUGGGGAGUACGACCGCAAGGUUGAAACUCAAAGGAAUUGACGGGGGCCCGCACAAGCGGUGGAGCAUGUGGUUUAAUUCGACGCAACGCGAAGAACCUUACCAAGACUUGACAUCCUCUUGAUCGGAUAUGUAAUGUAUCCUUUUCUUCGGAACAAGAGAGACAGGUGGUGCAUGGUUGUCGUCAGCUCGUGUCGUGAGAUGUUGGGUUAAGUCCCGCAACGAGCGCAACCCUUGCCUUCAGUUACCAGCAUUCAGUUGGGGACUCUGGAGGGACUGCCGGUGAUAAACCGGAGGAAGGUGGGGAUGACGUCAAAUCAUCAUGCCCCUUAUGGCCUGGGCUACACACGUACUACAAUGGCUGUUACAACGUGCAGCGACCUAGCGAUAGGAAGCGAAUCACUAAAAGACAGUCUCAGUUCGGAUUGAAGUCUGCAACUCGACUUCAUGAAGCUGGAAUCGCUAGUAAUCGCGGAUCAGAAUGCCGCGGUGAAUACGUUCUCGGGCCUUGUACACACCGCCCGUCAUACCAUGAGAGCUGGUAAUACCCGAAGCCGGUGGCCUAACCGCAAGGAAGGAGCCGUCGAAGGUAGGACUAGUGAUUGGGGUCAAGUCGUAACAAGGUAUCCCUACGAGAACGUGGG